rnacentral:tRNA from 1 species
GGGUCGGUAGCUCAGUGGUAGAGCAUCGGACUUUUAAUCCGUUGGUCGAGGGUUCGAUCCCCUCCCGACCCA